CCUACGGGAGGCAGCAGUGGGGAAUAUUGGGCAAUGGGCGCAAGCCUGACCCAGCGACGCCGCGUGAGGGAUGAAGGUCUUCGGAUUGUAAACCUCUUUCAGUGGGGAAGAAGCGAAAGUGACGGUACCCAAAGAAGAAGCACCGGCUAACUAUGUGCCAGCAGCCGCGGUAAUACAUAGGGUGCAAGCGUUGUCCGGAAUUAUUGGGCGUAAAGAGCUUGUAGGUCGUUCAUCACGUCGGAUGUGAAAAUCUGAGGCUCAACCUCAGACCUGCAUUCGAUACGAGUGAACUAGAGUUUGGUAGGGGAGACUGGAAUUCCUGGUGUAGCGGUGGAAUGCGCAGAUAUCAGGAGGAACAUCAAUGGCGAAGGCAGGUCUCUGGGCCAAUACUGACACUGAGGAGCGAAAGCGUGGGGAGCGAACAGGAUUAGAUACCCUGGUAGUCCACGCCGUAAACGGUGGGCACUAGUUGUGGGGACCUUCCACGGUUUCCGCGACGCAGCUAACGCAUUAAGUGCCCCGCCUGGGGAGUACGAUCGCAAGNUUAAAACUCAAAUGAAUUGACGGCUGAGAGNGCGAGCGACACGAGGGAGAGG
rnacentral:rRNA from 1 species